UUUGGAUAUGUUGAUGGGACGUUAUUUUAUCCAUCACCAACUAUUAAUUACUCAGAAUAAUGUUUCCUACUCAAUGCCAUCUUUGUAUCUGUUUCAGUAUGCUCUUCCUUUUGCUUCAACUUCUUUCUUCUAAUACACACAAGCUUAAAUAAUAUAAAACUUUUCCGAUCUUAAAUUUUGAGAAAAUCAUAAAUUUUUACUAUCUUGCAAGCUAGGAAUACUACCGUGUAGUGAAGUUUACGCAUCACAACACCACAUGCACGUUCCCGCUUCUCAUGCAUUAUUAGUAUUAUUACAUGCUUUAUAGUAAUCAUAGGUGCCAUUUUUGCAGGUUUGACGUGCAAGCU
rnacentral:lncRNA from 1 species